UUUCCGUAGGUGAACCUGCGGAAGGAUCAUUAUUGUAUAACCGAGGUGCGAGGGCUGUCGCUGACCCGAAAGGUCGUGCACGCCCGAGUGCCCUCACUCACAUCCAUCUCACCCCUAUGUGCACCACCGCGUGGGUCCCCCUUUGGCUUCUCCGGAGGGGGGCUUACGUUUUCACACAAACUUUGUAUGCAGUGUAGAAUGUAUUUUUUGUUUUUGCGAUCACGCAAUCAAUACAACUUUCAACAACGGAUCUCUUGGCUCUC
rnacentral:misc_RNA from 1 species